GGCCCGACCUUGAGGUUACAGCCGAAGGAGCCCAGGCUGGGUUGAGGAAGGCCGCAAGACUCGUGACCUCGGCGGCGUCUGAGGCCAAGCUCGCUGGCUCAGCGCGGAGCCGGGGCGAGCCGGAAGCUAGGCUCAGGUACCAAUUGAAUUAAGAGAAGCACACCUCCUCCCAAGAACAGUACUCCAGCUAUGACAUAACGCCUGGGUAGGGUUCGAAGUAGCAGCCAGGCUGUAAUGUAAGCUGGAACUUCAAUCAAGGCAGAGAAGAAGCAGUUCAGGAGCUGGCACAAGCCAUGACCAAGGACGCUGUGAGUCCUCACUGAUUGUCAGGAAGUGAGUCUACUUCCAUUGAAUAUCUGCUUUUCCUUGUGGCCUCCUGCCUGCAAGGGUGAAUCCUCCAGCCUGUGCUCUCAGGCCUUAAGGUUCUAGACACAACAUAGCAAGACUAAAGACAUGUACAGCUUCCGCAGCAGACUUUGAUCAAUUUGGGGAGUUUUGCCAUCUUAACAAUAUUAAGUCUUCUACUUCAUGAACAAAACAUGAGAUGUCUUUCCCCUACAUACAGAGACAUGCUCAAAACUAUACCAAGACUUCAGAUAACAAGGCAGGCCUGCAUUAUCCUUGAAUAUAAAUCGAAUGUAGCUUAUUGCAAAGAAGAAAUUACAGUUCCUUCAGAGAUCCGAGGCACCUGCAGCUCCUCUGACCAGCUCUGCCAAGCCUUGUUUUUGUCAACAUACCACGCUACCUCUUGGACAAAGUGUGAGGACUCUGCUGCCCACCAGGAGAGAUGGACACAGUCUGUUUAUCCAGAAACUUAGCAGGAGGUUCGGGUGAAGCAGCCUUUGAACACAGGCACAUUCUGAGAUCCUGGUGACAUUUGUCAGUGGAACAGAGCUUAGAGGUAACAAGCAAACUGUUGGGCAUGAGGCAGCUGAUAAACAGGGAAGCAAAUUCAGGCCAGAGCUAGGGAAAGCCCCUCAGUCUCCUUUAUUUGUUCUCUUUCUGAAGCAUUGAUGGGAAAUAAAAGUCUGUUGGUGCUAGCUGGAGUUGGAGGUCCGCACUUUGUCACCUUUGGAAUCUGCCAGAGGGCAUGUCUGAGUUGUGAACUUGGUUGAUAUUCAGGCUGCCCCUACAGCCAAGUUGCCAGUCUCACACUAGCCAGCAGUAUUCCAGGGCAGCCUGCAGGCCUGAUGGAAAGAUAACAGCCUAAACUCUUCACCUUUGGCAGAUCCCACCCAGGCCCCAGAAGAGGUACAUCCCUAUGAGCUGCCACAUGGAGUCCCAUGUAGUUGUCAGUUAGAUGCCAGGCUCUGCCUUCUCAUCAUUCCCUCCUUUGCUACUCCUAGUGCCUCCCAUAAGCACCCUGUUAGCAGAGGAUAAGGCCCCCUUGUUCUUAUUUUAAUACGUUUGGGCUGAGGGUGGAGAAUCAGUGUGUCCUGUUCUGUCCAAGCCCUGACCCCAGGUCCCAAGAAAGAUAGCACAAGGCUAGUGCCUCCAGAGGCCCAGGCCCUUUGUUGGAUGUUCUAUCAUGGUUAAGGGCAUAGCUCCACCCAUGGGUUCUUAGAGGAUAACACCAGCUAGAGGAGAGGAUAGAAAUCGAUAUGGUGGAGCAGCAGCCCUGCCUCAGAUCACUAUUGGUCUGCCACAGAAAGCUGCUUUUUACCAAACAAGCCUCUCUCAAGGCCUCUGGAGUAUGGGGCCUGGCUCAGAGGUAACUACCUAGUUUUCCCAGCCCAUGGACUGAAGGGAGUCAAGUCUACCUAGUGAUGUUCCAUGGGAGAAGAAGACAUGUUUGAGCCAAGGCCAGCCCAUGCUUAGACCCUGGCCAGGAGUCAGGCUCACCCCUACUGUUUGCCCCAUGGUCCUGCUCCUGAAUUUAGACCCCCUGGAGAACAGAACAUUUGGUGCCCUUCCUGCUCUUUCAGCCUCAGGGGGCCUCAGCAGGAGGCCUCUGAGCUUCCUCACGCCUAAGGCCUUUGCUCACUAGAGUCUGUGGCACUGAAGAGCUAUACAGAAGGUCAUGCCCAUGGAGACUGAUCUCACCACUGGUCUUGUCACUGGUAGAUCUCAGUGACAAGGAAUAUAUCAUCAGACAGACUGUUGGGAUGCUUGGCAUGCCUUCCUUCCCCAACAGAAGCUUCAGUCCUGCCUAUUGAGCCAGAUUCCACCAGUCCUUGCUCCUGUUCCUAUGCUCCCAACAGAUAACUUAGCUAAGAAGUGACUGGCACUCCUCCCCCGGAGCAAACGGAAGCUCCUCCAGACCCGACUCCAGAGAAAGAUGAAGGACCUCACCCUAGAUUUUUACAUUCUUUAUCUUUAAAGUGAAAAAUAACUUGGUUCAAGCUGGAACAACUGGAGCAACAAAAUUAAAAAAGACAGUAUUAGGUUUUAACUCAUGGCAUAAAAUAAAUAAGCAUGAGUCUAUACUGAUAUAUAGUAAUAACUACGUAAAUAAAUAAAUGGGAGUGAAGAGGAAGCUCUUCUUUACAGAAGAAUUCCAAUUAAUAAAUCAGAAGGAAUGAGGGAGGCAGAAAAUUGCCACUAGGCAAACACCCACAGAAAUAGCUGUUUCAGUUAAAGUCUAGCAAUGGAUGCUGAAAUCAGUGGGUAAAUGUUCAAGGAGAAACAGGAUAUUUGUAUAGUCUCAAAGUAGCUCCCCCAAGAUAUUUAUUAAUUAUGAAGGGAAAAAAUAGUAACUUUACCAUGGAGAAACCCAGCAGACACCAAUUUAGCCACGUGAUCAAGGUCAACAUCACCAGUAAUCAGCCACAUCAACGUCAUGUACCUACUGGUAGGAUGCCCUGAGGACACAUCACUUCUAUGGUGUUCCUACCAAAAAGCACACAAACUCAGUCUUAUCAUGAGAGAAAUAAGACAAACCCAAAUUGAGGGACAUUCAUCAGAGUAACUGAUGGACUGAUAAAAAGCAUCAAGGUCAUAAAAGUCUGGGGAACUGUCACAGAUUGGAGGAGAUGAAGGAAACAUGAUAACUAAAUACAAUAUGGGAUUCUGGAUUGGAUCCUGAAACAAAAAAAGGACAUAGUGGAAAAACUGGUGAAAUUCAAAUAAGGUCUGUAGUUAAUAAUAUUGUAACCAAUGUUAAUUUCCAGGUUUUGACAAAUGAAUUGCAGUUAUAUAAAUCGUUAACAUAAGGGGAAGCUGGAUGAAGGGUAUA